GUUCAAUCAAAUAGUCGUCCUCUUAACUCAUGGAGAACGGUGUUGUUCGAUUAAGCCGUGCCAAUAUCACGCGGUAAACCAAAAAUGGCAAAGAUAGUUAUUAUAACCUUAAAGGCACUCGAUCGGUAGCCUUAGAGGGGACAAGCAACACAAAACCCAAAAUCCAAGUACAACUGCGAUUUGCAGUUCUAUUUUUAGCAAGUAUUUAAGGGAGUAAAAGUACUAACAAGAACGUAAAACAUUUGUAAUUACUAUCUGAAACUUUUGUCCAUAAGUUAGCUGUGGAAUGAUUUAUCUUAUUUGUUAUUUAAAGAAAAGUGUAUAUGUUUAUUCGCUUGUUGUUGUUAAUCUAACGAAAACGAGGAAGUCUGUUUUUGGACUUAUUCUAUCAGAUAAGGUUAAAUCUAUGAAAUUUCAUCA
rnacentral:precursor_RNA from 1 species